rnacentral:rRNA from 1 species
UACGUAGGGGGCUAGCGUUGUCCGGAAUCAUUGGGCGUAAAGCGCGUGUAGGCGGUCCGGUAAGUCCGCUGUGAAAGUCGGGGGCUCAACCCUCGGAUGCCGGUGGAUACUGUCGGGCUUGAGUACGGAAGAGGCGAGUGGAAUUCCUGGUGUAGCGGUGAAAUGCGCAGAUAUCAGGAGGAACACUAAUUGCGAAGGCAGCUCGCUGGGACGUUACUGACGCUGAGACGCGAAAGCGUGGGGAGCAAACAGG